UUCGUAGGCCUGCGGAAGGAUCAUUA
rnacentral:rRNA from 1 species